GCCGGGUGUGGUGGCGCACACCUGUAAUCCCAGCUACUCAGGAGACUGAGGUGGGAGAAUCACUUGAGCCCGGGAGGCGGAGGUUGCAGUGAGCCGAGACUGCACCACUGCACUCCAGCCUGGGCAACACAGUGAGACUCCAUCUCAA
ensembl:misc_RNA Metazoa_SRP Metazoan signal recognition particle RNA